rnacentral:rRNA from 1 species
UACGAAGGGGGCUAGCGUUGCUCGGAAUCACUGGGCGUAAAGGGUGCGUAGGCGGGUCUUUUAAGUCAGGGGUGAAAUCCUGGAGCUCAACUCCAGAACUGCCUUUGAUACUGAGGAUCUUGAGUUCGGGAGAGGUGAGUGGAACUGCGAGUGUAGAGGUGAAAUUCGUAGAUAUUCGCAAGAACACCAGUGGCGAAGGCGGCUCACUGGCCCGGUACUGACGCUGAGGCGCGAAAGCUAGGGGAGCAAACGGG